CGGGGCGGGGGUGCAGAGGUGCCGGCGGGUUUGGGGGUCCCGGGGGGGGCUGCUGGGCGGCUCGUUCCCCGCAGGCGGCGGAUGCCGCGGGCACGAAACCCCCCCGCCCUGGAGCUGCCCCACGGGCUGGGGGUGUCGAAGGUGCCGCCCCAAGGCCGCGGGGCCGGAGCCGCUGCCCCGAGCCCGGCGGGCCCAGGACGGAGCGUCCGGGCCGGGCGAGGCGGCCGCGGGAGGAUCCUGAGCCCGAUGCCGGCCCAGCCGAGCGGCUCCUGCGGGAACAGCCCUGCCGGCUCCGGGAAGCAGCUGCGGGCGGGUUUCUCUUGCCCGCAGCGGCGAUGGCUCCAGCCCCGGGCUGUGCUCCGGGGUCCCGGCUGAAGGCGGGAGCGUCCUGCUUUGGGGACAGGGUGUGUGGGCUGGGCGGGGCCGGGCCGGAGGAGGCACCGCCUGGGCCGGGGAUGAGUGCUGGCAUGUAUUAGCUGAGCUGAGCUGAUGUCUCUCACCGCUUUAGCUCUAGAAUUACUCUGAGGCCCGGCAAGCUCCAGGUCCCUUGGGAGGUCUUUGGGACAGCCCAGGGCUGUGCCAUUUUGGCUGGCCCAGAGCUGUGCACCAGCAUUUUGGAGAGUCUGCAGCACUGCAGCUUCCGGUGGGGCACGACAGGUGAGGUUUGGGGUGACCCAGCUGCCGGCAAGGUCCCUCUUCCAGGGCGUUUGGAUCUCCAGACGGGUCUCCAGCCGCCUGGAAAGGUGUGGGUGCAUGUGUGCAGCUCCCUGGCGCUUCCUGGGCACCUGUCAGCUCCCGAGAGACUGAUCCGUGGGGUGAGAAAGAAAACAGGCCAGGGGCACUUGUUAGAUUGGGUCUUUUUGUGUCUGUAAAAUGCAGGUUUGGCAGUUGGUUUCAUAUUUAUAAAGAGGAUCUGAACAUUCUUUUGUUGUUA